GACGAACGCUGGCGGCGUGCCUAAUACAUGCAAGUCGAACGAGAGCGACCGGUGCUUGCACUGGUCAAUCUAGUGGCGAACGGGUGAGUAACACGUGGGUAACCUGCCCAUCAGAGGGGGAUAACAUCCGGAAACGGAUGCUAAAACCGCAUAGGUCUUCGAACCGCAUGGUUUGAAGAGGAAAAGAGGCGCAAGCUUCUGCUGAUGGAUGGACCCGCGGUGCAUUAGCUAGUUGGUGAGGUAACGGCUCACCAAGGCCGUGAUGCAUAGCCGACCUGAGAGGGGGAUCGGCCACAUUGGGACUGAGACACGGCCCAAACUCCUACGGGAGGCAGUAGUAGGGAAUCUUCCGCAAUGGACGCAAGUCUGACGGAGCAACGCCGCGUGAGUGAAGAAGGUUUUCGGAUCGUAAAACUCUGUUGUUAGAGAAGAACAAGUGCUAGAGUAACUGUUAGCGCCUUGACGGUAUCUAACCAGAAAGCCACGGCUAACUACGUG
rnacentral:rRNA from 1 species